rnacentral:rRNA from 1 species
AUUGAACGCUGGCGGCAUGCCUUACACAUGCAAGUCGAACGGCAGCGGACCUUCGGGUGCCGGCGAGUGGCGAACGGGUGAGUAAUGCAUCGGAACGUACCUUUCAGUGGGGGAUAACGUAGCGAAAGUUACGCUAAUACCGCAUAUUCUGUGAGCAAGAAAGCAGGGGAUCGCAAGACCUUGCGCUGAUUGAGCGGCCGAUGUCAGAUUGGCUAGUUGGUGAGGUAAAGGCUCACCAAGGCGACGAUCUGUAGCGGGUCUGAGAGGAUGAUCCGCCACACUGGAACUGAGACACGGUCCAGACUCCUACGGGAGGCAGCAGUGGGGAAUUUUGGACAAUGGGGGCAACCCUGAUCCAGCCAUGCCGCGUGAGUGAAGAAGGCCUUCGGGUUGUAUAGCUCUUUCGGCCGGGAAGAAAUCGCACGGGCUAAUACCCUGUGUGGAUGACGGUACCGGAAUAAGAAGCACCGGCUAACUACGUGCCAGCCGCCGCCGUAAUAC